AUCAUGGAACAGACCAUCUCUUCCAGAACAGGGACAGAGAAAUUCCCCAGAAAUUCCCCAGAGAGUUCACCUCUUGGAAGAAGUUUUCAGGUAGAUAUGGAAGAUUUAUGGCUACUGAGUGUCUGAAUAUCUUGUAAUCAAACAUGGGAAUAUGAAAGCUGCAAGACAGAAUGGAGAGCUCUCAAAUUGUCGCCCCAAUGGAGAGAAAAUGCAGUUGCCGAAAGGAAAAAGACAAAGGAAACUCAGACUUCAGAGCCCUCCCUAUUCACAGAUACAGGCAGAAACUAGUUGACGCUGUCAGAGACAAUUCAUUUCUUAUUGUGACUGGGGAGACAGGGAGUGGCAAAACUACCCAGCUCCCUAAGUAUCUAUUUGAAGAAGGCUUUCUAAAGCAUGGAGUGAUUGGUGUGACUCAGCCACGCCGAGUAGCUACCAUGUCUGUGGCUCAGAGAGUGGCUGAGGAGAUGAACUCUUCACUGGGAAGCAUAGUGGGAUAUCAGGUUCGCUUUGAUGACUGCACCUCUGAGGGUACUGCAAUCAAGUAUAUGACUGAUGGCUGCUUACUGAGACAGAUACUGGCAGACCUCCAUCUUACCAAAUACAGCAUCAUUAUACUGGAUGAAGCCCAUGAGCGGAGCUUAAGCACAGACAUUUUAUUUGGCUUGCUGAAGAAACUAUUCCAACAAAAGAAGCCUCCCAAGAGAAGGAAAGCCUUGAAGGUGGUGGUGAUGUCAGCCACCCUGGAGGUAGACAAGCUCUCAGAGUUCUUUGGAGGCUGCACAGUGGUGGACAUUCCAGGAAGGAAUUAUCCCGUCAAGGAGAUAUUCUGCAGCCUGCUUGGCCCAAAGGAUGCAGAAAGCUCUGCUUAUGUUACAGAGGCUGUAAAAGUGACCCUGGAUAUCCACUUGAAUGAGUCAGCGGGAGACAUCUUGGUUUUUCUGACUGGACAAUCUGAGAUAGAAAGAACAUGCGACUUACUUUUCCAAAAAGCGGAAUCUAUUGAUUACCGCUAUGAUGUGCAAGAUGGUUCUGUUGAAGGUUUGCUUAUCUUACCAUUGUAUGGGUCAAUGCCAACAGAUCAGCAGAGAAGAAUAUUUUUGCCACCUCCUCCAGGCAUUAGAAAAUGUGUUGUAUCCACAAACGUUGCUGCAACUUCUCUGACAGUUGAUGGAAUCAGGUAUGUAGUUGAUAGUGGAUUUGUGAAGCAGUUAAAUCAUAACCCCAGGGUUGGCUUGGACAUACUGGAGGUGGUUCCCAUUUCAAAGAGUGAAGCAAUGCAACGAGCUGGCCGAGCUGGCAGGACAUCACCUGGAAAAUGCUACAGGGUGUACAGCAAGGAAUUCUGGGAUCAGUGUAUGCCUAAUCACAUGAUCCCAGAGAUAAAGAGAACUAGUCUUACAUCUGUGAUCUUGACCUUGAAGUGCCUUGCUGUACAUGAUGUCAUAAGGUUCCCCUAUUUGGACCGCCCUGAAGAGAGGCAUAUUUUAGAGGCUCUUAAGCAACUUUACCAGUGUGAUGCUAUUGACAGGAGAGGCCGCGUGACAAGACUGGGAGAGUUUUUGGUGCAAUUUCCUCUCCCUCCAAACCUGACCUGUGCUGUCAUAAAGGCAGCUUCUCUUGACUGCGAAGAUCUGUUGCUUCCCAUAGCUGCGAUGUUGUCUGUGGAAAAUGUCUUCAUACGGCCUGAUGACCUUCUGAAACAAAAGGAAGCAGAACUCCGCCACCAGGAGCUGUCAUUAGAGGCAGGAGGAUGCAAUGAUUUUGCAACCCUUUUAAACAUCUUUGAACAGUGCAAAUCAAGCAAGUCUCCUGUAGCUUGGUGCCAGAAACACUGGGUCCACUUCAGAGCUUUAAAAUCUGCUUUUAGUGUGGAAGCACAACUUCAGGAAAUAACCAGUAAGCUUAAACAGCUGUCAGACUUCCCAAGAGAGCGUUUUGAUGGCUCCAAAAAUGAGAUACUCCGAAGAUGUCUGUGCACGGGGUACUUCACCAAUGUAGCCAGAAGGUCCGCAGGCAGGACAUUCUGCACGAUGGACGGACAUGGUAGCAUAGUCCAUCUUCAUCCUUCAUCAGCACUCCAUGACCAGGAACUUCAACCUGAAUGGAUCAUCUUCCAUGAUGUCCUGGUCACAUCUAAAAUUUAUGUGAGGAUGGUGUGUCCUAUUCGCUAUGAGUGGGUCAAAGACUUGUUGCCCAAGUUACAUGAAAUUGAUGUGUAUGAACUGAGCAGUGUGGCACGGGAAGAGGUGACCGAGGAGGAAAUAACCAAGUGGAAAAACAAGGAAGACCUCAAACGACAGUAUGAAAAAAUAAAAUAUGACUCUGCAAAGAAGAUGGAGAAAAGGAAUGAUGAUAAAUCAAUACAGGAUGCCCGAGUGCGCUACCUCCAGAGAAAACAGCAAAGGGCACAGUGUAUAAAUGCCACGCUAAAGGAGAUAGGCUAGUACAGCAAUGAGUGCUCUUGCAAAGGCAGUCAGUGCAAUUGCUUGUUGAUAAGCUUGCUGCAUAAACACACCAAAAAAAAAAGAAAAGUGCCUGGAAGCCUCGUCUGCUAGGUGCUGUACUGCCAGAGAAUAAAAAGACAGCCCCUAUCCCAAAGAGCUUACAUGAAACCCAGGCUGCUUCUUCACAAAGAGUCUCCAUUCUACUCCGAUAGAAAUCAACAGCAAAACUCCUGUUGGCUUCACAGGGUGGUACUGAGCACCUACAUUUCCGGCUCCCUUUAAUGGGAGAUGCAGCUGCUUAGCUCCUCUGGCAGGUGUUUCUAUUUGUGUCAAUACAGCACCACUCAGUUACAAGACAGUGACACUGUUGGAACAGUGCAGCAUGCAAAGCCUUAGAACAAAGAGGCUUCCCUGGUGCUAUAUUCUGAAGGGGUAGACUUGAUGGCGUUUGUGGAAAUGAAUGCUUACAUGGCCCAUUAUGUCUGGUGUGCUUUCCAAACAGAGAAGGAAGCAUGAUCCCUUCAUCAAGGAGCUUUACAAGCUAUAGAGGCUACAGAGUACUCCCUAUGCUGCUCUGCAAAGGACAAUGUUAACUCGCUGGAUUGUAAGAGGCUUAGCUAAGGCUAUAUUACAGAUAUUAACAGUAAUAACAGGAGCAAGAGCUAAUGCCUACAGAUUGUGUAAGUUGCAGCCAUAUUGCCUUUAACAAUGUGAAAUUCAGUGCUGCCCACGACUUCUCUAAUUCCCUUUGUGUAUACAAACUGCAGAGAGAGCUGCAAAAUGAAUGCCUUUCUAGUUCCUACAGGGAUGAGUGAAUCAAUAUAUUCUUGGGUGAGAUCAGUGUAAGUAGUAGUAUGUCUAAGGCUCUUGCUUUGUUGUGUUUUACAGUGUAUUCAAAUGGAAGAGCUUUUUGUUCUUUCACAGUCAUUACUUCAGUAUGUGCUCUUUAGCAGCCAGCACUCUGUUCCUCGCUAAUUUGAUAGGUUCCUCCUUGCUUUUGCAAGGGGCCUGCAACCCAGUAUCAUACUGUAUGAAUGUGAAUGCACUUGCAGUGUCCUUUCAGAUGAUGUCUGUACCACGUACUGAGUCUGACAUUUGUAGGUAUAACACACACUCCUACUCAGGGCCCAUGUCCCUCCUGACAUAUAGUUAUGCAGAGAUUUCCUUUGACUUCCUUAGUAGCAAUGAAGCAUCCUUUUUUUAACUUGAAAAAUGACAUCAGUAUCCCUGAUUUUGCAGGCACAAAGUCCUAAACAAAUAGGAACCAAUUGGUUUCUUGCUAUGGCAGAAGUGUUUGCUUAAAAAAUAAAGUUACUGAGGAGCUAUAUUACAUUUGAUUUUUUUAUCUUUCUAACUGAACACAUCUGAGCCUCAUCUCUUGCUUGUUAAGCCUUUUUAAUCUAUUAAAUUGUUUUGCAGUUCUGGCAAAUAAGCUUGAAAAUGUGAAUUUAAGAUCCAACUAUACAAGAAAGUAGCACUGCAUCAUAAGCCCACAGCAUAAGGAAAAUAUGAAUUUAGUUUGACGUGGUGUCCUUAACUUACCCUCUUUAAUUUACUCUAUUUGUUUGGCUACAGUAGUACAUAUGGUAUGUAAGAUCCUCUGAUAAAGGACCACAUGUGUUGUAAUGCAUUGGUUAAAGAGGCUAUAACAGCUUUAACUCAACAUAUCUUAUGUUUUUAUGGGGUUAGGUUACAAGAGGAUUUUUUUCUUAUUUUUUUUAAGUUACUGUACGGGUAAGUUUGAAAAUUUUCGUUAUUGCCACUGCAUACAGCAAUAAUGUUUUAUUAAAAAUCCCUCUGACAAGACCUGGAAUUGUAGGGGACACCUGAAACCUUGGAAUACUUUUCAUUUUUGUAUAAUUUAAAAAAGAUCCUGGCAUGUGUUUCUGUGAAGGAAAGAGAUGAAUGUUGAUUUGCUAUAUGGUCAGAAUUGUAUUUUGACCCUUUUCCUGCUUGUUAUGAAGAACUGCUGAUCCAUGCACUGUAAAUUAAAACUUUAUAUUCCAUGAAGUGCAACAGGUUUAUUUCCUAAUCCAAAGUGGAAAGCAGAAUGUGGUCAGAUUCAAGCAAGCUAAUCUGGAUGGCGCACACAGUGGUGAACUUGGAGAAAUCUCUC